rnacentral:misc_RNA from 1 species
GGAAGUGAAAGUCGUAACAAGGUUUCCGUAGGUGAACCUGCGGAAGGAUCAUUCAUAAUAAGUGUUUUAUGGCACUUUUUUAAAUCCAUAUCCACCUUGUGUGCAAUGUCAGGGUUGGUCUCUCUUGAUCAGCCCCAAACAUCAACUAUUAUCUCAACUCUUUGUCUGAAAAAUAUUAUGAAUAAAACAAUUCAAAAUACAACUUUCAACAACGGAUCUCUUGGCUCUC